rnacentral:lncRNA from 1 species
ACUACAGUCAGCAGAGCUAGAUCAGAGUGUCUUAUUUGCUAGGUGACCUUUGUCAGGUCACCUCAUCUCUCUGUAUUUCAGUUCCCUCAUCCAUAAAAUAUAUCCAGAAAUAUUGACUUCCCAGGGAUCGUGAGGAUUCAGUGAGAUCAUGGAUGCCAAAGUGCCUGGCACCUCAUUAUGCUGGAUCAUAGAUGAGAGAGAAUGAAGGUGUCUUUGGGUCUCUGGGUGCACACAGUAGCCUGCCCAGACGCGCUGGGUGCCCUGCAUGUGUGGAGCCCAAAGCCUGCCUGUAGACAGAGUCAGUGUAAACCAUACUAGACUGAAGGAGGAGCCAAGAGAGGGUUUUAAGGUGCCCACCCUCCUGUUGUGCUCCCCUGGACUAACGUGAUGUCUUCAAAACCUGUCCAGAAGAAGGUGCUUGUGAAUAAACUAGCCUUCCUAAGCUCGGAAGAUUAUCUAACACCCGAAAUUUGUACUUGGAGAUUGGCUUCGCGCAGCAGGGAUGAAUGGGGACACUAAGGAAGACUGCAGAGCAGCAGUGGCUGCAGUUUCUAAACUGCCAUUUGGGACAAAGUGGCAAAGGAGAAAAUUUUUGCAAUGCUGUGGUUUAGAGUGAAUAUUUAGAACUCAAGGCUGAGGGCGACCUUGGUGGUUGUGUGUGGUU